rnacentral:rRNA from 1 species
AGGACGAACGCUGGCGGCGUGCUUAACACAUGCAAGUCGAGCGGAAAGGCCCUUCGGGGUACUCGAGCGGCGAACGGGUGAGUAACACGUGAGUAAUCUGCCCCUAGCUCUGGGAUAGCUCCGGGAAACCGGGAUUAAUACCGGAUACGACCACCUUAGACAUCUUUUGUGGUGGAAAGAAUUUCGGCUAGGGAUGAGCUCGCGGCCUAUCAGCUUGUUGGUGGGGUAACGGCCUACCAAGGCGACGACGGGUAGCCGGCCUGAGAGGGCGACCGGCCACACUGGGACUGAGACACGGCCCAGACUCCUACGGGAGGCAGCAGUGGGGAAUAUUGCGCAAUGGGCGAAAGCCUGACGCAGCGACGCCGCGUGGGGAUGAAGGCCUUCGGGUUGUAAACCCCUUUCAGCAGGGACGAAGCGAAAGUGACGGUACCUGCAGAAGAAGCGCCGGCUAACUACGUGCCAGCAGCCGC